UAGGAUUAUUGGAAUUCUGUGUCUAUCACUUUAACACCAUGUCUACACCGCAGCAGCUUGAAGUUGUCAACACUGGAUACAACAAAGCGGCCGUUGCUUGGACUAUUUCAGAAAUAGAACGGGGAAUCCACUUACUUUCAGGGAUUUGUCGUGUCAUCCUGUGUAGACAAUAUCAGUCAUUGCGUUGCGCGUGGUUUUUGUCUGGUUUCUUUCUCAACUGUUCAUGUUCACUUAAGAACCAACUACUUUAGUAGGAUACUCAGAAGAUUGUAGUAAGAUGCAAAAUGCCUGAGAGGCUUUACAAAAUCUCACACACAAAAAUGAACGACAACAGUAAUCAAAUGACUCUAAACCGCAUUUAUCCCUUUUAUAACCCACCCAGAAUCUAUACACCACAAUAUUAACCACACAUUUGGCCACAUAAUUGCAACUUAAUAUGUUCUUACCUUUGUAAAACACUGUAAAAACAACAAAUGAAAAUGUAAAAUGGCAAAAUCGCAUUGUGUACUUCUUAAGACUUUAAUUCAUAUUCAGCAGUGACUGCACUGAACCCUCAAACAGAGCAAAACAAAACAAAAACCAAAACAUCAUUGCACCACAGACAUAAAAAAUAAAUAAAAUGCUGCUAUUGCAAAGUUUUGAUUACAUUUAGUUAUAAAACUCUGAAUUUAAUGAUUAAGAAUGUUAAUAUGAAUUAAACUGAUAUAUAUUAAUCAUUGUUAUAUUUACAUUAUGAAAUAAAAUAGGAUUGAGGAUUGGUUGUGAUGUCACUGGCCACACCUACAAUAUUCAUACACAACAGAGCUCCUCCCCACUGCAGUCAUUUAUCUGUACAUCCAUUUUUAUCAUUUAUCACAUUUAGUUUAUAAGCACAUAUAAAAACCUCCAAAAAGCAUACAUAGCCAACCUGAAAACUAUUAUCAAAAUCAGUCUAAACUGAGGUGUUAACAUGGAGAGAUGUCUAUUAGUGAUUGUCAUAACAGUUUCAGGUGCAUUUGCUGACACCAUUAAUCCAGUUAACAAGGAUAUGAUCAGAAGAGAAGGAGAGUCUGUGACACUAAGCUGCUCAUAUGAUGCAAGCAGCAAUUUUGUUUAUCUUUACUGGUACAGACAGUAUCCAAACCGAGAACCAGAAUAUUUACUGUAUGAAGGUGCCCGAUCAAAUAGUGGAGAAGAGGACACACCAGAUGACCAUCGGUUUCAGUCGACUGCAUCUGAAUCAUCCACUGAUCUCACUAUUACUGAUGUAACGCUAUCAGAUUCAGCUCUUUAUUAUUGUGCUCUAAGAGUAACAGUAAGCCCAGUGAUACAAAAUGUCUGAGAAGCUUUACAAAAACUCUCACACACUGUUAUUACUUU
rnacentral:lncRNA from 1 species